GGGUUGUGAGGUUAAGCGACUAAGCGUACACGGUGGAUGCCCUGGCAGUCAGAGGCGAUGAAGGGCGUGCUAAUCUGCGAUAAGCGCCGGUAAGGUGAUAUGAACCGUUAUAACCGGCGAUACCCGAAUGGGGAAACCCAGUGUGACUCGUCACACUAUCAUUAACUGAAUCCAUAGGUUAAUGAGGCGAACCGGGGGAACUGAAACAUCUAAGUACCCCGAGGAAAAGAAAUCAACCGAGAUUCCCCCAGUAGCGGCGAGCGAACGGGGAGGAGCCCAGAGCCUGAAUCAGCAUGUGUGUUAGUGGAAGCGUCUGGAAAGGCGCGCUAUACAGGGUGACAGCCCCGUACACAAAAGCGCAUGUGCUGUGAGCUCGAUGAGUAGGGCGGGACACGUGGUAUCCUGUCUGAAUAUGGGGGGACCAUCCUCCAAGGCUAAAUACUCCUGACUGACCGAUAGUGAACCAGUACCGUGAGGGAAAGGCGAAAAGAACCCCGGCGAGGGGAGUGAAAAAGAACCUGAAACCGUGUACGUACAAGCAGUGGGAGCCCCACCACCAAAGCAUUCUCUGGUGUUGAAGGCCCUGCAAAGCAGCAUCGCGGUGGCGGAGCGUCGUUUGCGACGCCCAACACACAAAACAAGCGGU
rnacentral:rRNA from 1 species